UCCGGCUUGUCACCGGCAGUUUCUCCAGAGUGCCCGGCCCUACCCGCUGGCAACUGAAGAUGGGGGUUGCGCUCGUUGCGGGACUUAACCCAACAUCUCACGACACGAGCUGACGACAGCCACGCAGCACCUGUGUGGGAGCCAGCCGAACUGAAGGACCGCAUCUCUGCGGCCCACACUCCCCAUGUCAAGGGCUGGUAAGGUUCUUCGCGUUGCGUCGAAUUAAACCACAUGCUCCACCGCUUGUGCGGGCCCCCGUCAAUUCCUUUGAGUUUUAACCUUGCGGCCGUACUCCCCAGGCGGUGUGCUUACCGCGUUAGCUGCGACACCGAAGAGCUAGGCUCCCCAACGUCUAGCACACAUCGUUUACGGCGUGGACUAC
rnacentral:misc_RNA from 1 species